UACGUAGGUGACUAGCGUUGUCCGGAUUUACUGGGCGUAAAGAGCGCGCAGGCGGUCGUUCAAGUCGGGUGUGAAAGCCCCCGGCUCAACUGGGGAGGGUCAUUCGAUACUGAUCGACUCGAAGGCAGGAGAGGGAAGUGGAAUUCCCGGUGUAGUGGUGAAAUGCGUAGAUAUCGGGAGGAACACCAGUGGCGAAGGCGACUUCCUGGCCUGUUCUUGACGCUGAGGCGCGAAAGCUAGGGGAGCAAACGGG
rnacentral:rRNA from 1 species